rnacentral:snRNA from 1 species
GUACAUGCUUGGGCAGUACGUAUACUAAAAUACAGAGAAAAUCAGCAUGACCCCUGCGCAACGAUGACACGCAAAAUCGUGAAGCGUUCCACUUUUUC